GUCCACGCCGUAAACGAUGUUCACUAGGUGUUGGGGGUAUUGACCCCCUCAGUGCCGGAGCUAACGCAUUAAGUGAACCGCCUGGGGAGUACGGUCGCAAGACUAAAACUCAAAGGAAUUGACGGGGGCCCGCACAAGCGGUGGAGCAUGUGGUUUAAUUCGAUGCAACGCGAAGAACCUUACCUGGGCUUGACAUCUGGGGAAUCCUCUGGAAACAGAGGAGUGCCUUUCGGGGAACCCCAAGACAGGUGCUGCAUGGCUGUCGU
rnacentral:rRNA from 1 species